UCCAUGCACUGUUGACUGGUCGUAAAACUCUACUUUUCUCGCUAACAGCCGCCCGCCACUUGUCAAGUAGCACCGUGGGAGGAGCGAGGAGCGAGAUGGAAUCCUAGGGUGCUGUCUCGUCCUGACGUCCGUAAUUAACGUGCCGCUGGUGUCGCCUUGUAGCGUGCAGCCCGCUCUGUCCUGCACUCGAGGCACAGAGUGAGAUUCGUUCUUCUUGCGCUCCUACUGGAGGAGGUCUGCUAUAUAGACCAGCGUUGCAACGAGAACAACACAGAUACGAAGGACCAGCGUUGCCGGGAUAUCGUCCAGCGCUCUGCUCUCGGGUUGUCCUGUCUAAUGGCGCGAGAUGCUGGACUCCCACGCGUGGACAAUGAACUUGAUACGAAGUGCUGCAAAAUUGUCACCAUCCAACAAGUCGAUUCGUCUGCUUUCUCAACGUGGAUUGGGUGAGAUCGGCAAGUGUCCAAACAUCAACGAGACUAUAUUUGUCUCGUUAACUUGGUGGUGUGCAUUGCUUGCUUCCAUUAUCAUUCAUUCUGGCAAUGUUACCGUCUCUCGCUAUGGAAUAGACCUAUAUACCAUUGUAUUAGUUCUGCAUUAAGUUCGCCUUCUUAUGAAACCCUAAAACUCGGUUCAACCCACAAAGAUUUUUCUUUCUUGUGA